UGGGGUAUCGUCAAGCGGUAAGACAUAGCACUUUGACUGCUAAAUUCGUAGGUUCAAAUCCUACUACCCCAG
rnacentral:tRNA from 1 species